rnacentral:snRNA from 1 species
GGUCAUCGCGCUUGGUUGA